UACGGGGGGGGCAAGCGUUGUUCGGAAUUACUGGGCGUAAAGGGCUCGUAGGCGGCCAACUAAGUCAGACGUGAAAUCCCUCGGCUUAACCGGGGAACUGCAUCUGAUACUGGAUGGCUUGAGUUCGGGAGAGGGAUGCGGAAUUCCAGGUGUAGCGGUGAAAUGCGUAGAUAUCUGGAGGAACACCGGUGGCGAAGGCGGCAUCCUGGACCGGCACUGACGCUGAGGCGCGAAAGCUAGGGGAGCAAACGGG
rnacentral:rRNA from 1 species